rnacentral:rRNA from 1 species
GAGUUUGAUCAUGGCUCAGGAUGAACGCUGGCGGCGUGCUUAGCACAUGCAAGUCGAACGGGGCCACCAUUUUGAAGCGAUUAGCUUGCUAAGAGUGGAAAUGUUGGCGGCUUAGUGGCGGACGGGUGAGUAACGCGUGGGUAACCUGCCAUAUACAGGGGGAUAACACUUAGAAAUAGGUGCUAAUACCGCAUAAGCGCACGGAGCUGCAUGGCUCAGUGUGAAAAACUCCGGUGGUAUAUGAUGGACCCGCGUCUGAUUAGCUUGUUGGCGGGGUAACGGCCCACCAAGGCGACGAUCAGUAGCCGGCCUGAGAGGGUGGACGGCCACAUUGGGACUGAGACACGGCCCAAACUCCUACGGGAGGCAGCAGUGGGGAAUAUUGGACAAUGGGGGGAACCCUGAUCCAGCGACGCCGCGUGAGUGAAGAAGUAUCUCGGUAUGUAAAGCUCUAUCAGCAGGGAAGAAGAAAUGACGGUACCUGACCAAGAAGCCCCGGCUAACUACGUGCCAG